rnacentral:rRNA from 1 species
UUAAGCGACUAAGCGUACACGGUGGAUGCCCUGGCAGUCAGAGGCGAUGAAGGACGUGCUAAUCUGCGAUAAGCGUCGGUAAGGUGAUAUGAACCGUUAUAACCGGCGAUUUCCGAAUGGGGAAACCCAGUGUGAUUCGUCACACUAUCAUUAACUGAAUCCAUAGGUUAAUGAGGCGAACCGGGGGAACUGAAACAUCUAAGUACCCCGAGGAAAAGAAAUCAACCGAGAUUCCCCCAGUAGCGGCGAGCGAACGGGGAGCAGCCCAGAGCCUGAAUCAGUGUGUGUGUUAGUGGAAGCGUCUGGAAAGGCGCGCGAUACAGGGUGACAGCCCCGUACACAAAAAUGCACAUACUGUGAGCUCGAUGAGUAGGGCGGGACACGUGGUAUCCUGUCUGAAUAUGGGGGGACCAUCCUCCAAGGCUAAAUACUCCUGACUGACCGAUAGUGAACCAGUACCGUGAGGGAAAGGCGAAAAGAACCCCGGCGAGGGGAGUGAAAAAGAACCUGAAACCGUGUACGUACAAGCAGUGGGAGCACAGAGCAAUCUGUGUGACUGCGUACCUUUUGUAUAAUGGGUCAGCGACUUAUAUUCUGUAGCAAGGUUAACCGAAUAGGGGAGCCGAAGGGAAACCGAGUCUUAACUGGGCGUUAAGUUGCAGGGUAUAGACCCGAAACCCGGUGAUCUAGCCAUGGGCAGGUUGAAGGUUGGGUAACACUAACUGGAGGACCGAACCGACUAAUGUUGAAAAAUUAGCGGAUGACUUGUGGCUGGGGGUGAAAGGCCAAUCAAACCGGGAGAUAGCUGGUUCUCCCCGAAAGCUAUUUAGGUAGCGCCUCGUGAAUUCAUCUCCGGGGGUAGAGCACUGUUUCGGCAAGGGGGUCAUCCCGACUUACCAACCCGAUGCAAACUGCGAAUACCGGAGAAUGUUAUCACGGGAGACACACGGCGGGUGCUAACGUCCGUCGUGAAGAGGGAAACAACCCAGACCGCCAGCUAAGGUCCCAAAGUCAUGGUUAAGUGGGAAACGAUGUGGGAAGGCCCAGACAGCCAGGAUGUUGGCUUAGAAGCAGCCAUCAUUUAAAGAAAGCGUAAUAGCUCACUGGUCGAGUCGGCCUGCGCGGAAGAUGUAACGGGGCUAAACCAUGCACCGAAGCUGCGGCAGCGACACUAUGUGUUGUUGGGUAGGGGAGCGUUCUGUAAGCCUGUGAAGGUGUACUGUGAGGUAUGCUGGAGGUAUCAGAAGUGCGAAUGCUGACAUAAGUAACGAUAAAGCGGGUGAAAAGCCCGCUCGCCGGAAGACCAAGGGUUCCUGUCCAACGUUAAUCGGGGCAGGGUGAGUCGACCCCUAAGGCGAGGCCGAAAGGCGUAGUCGAUGGGAAACAGGUUAAUAUUCCUGUACUUGGUGUUACUGCGAAGGGGGGACGGAGAAGGCUAUGUUGGCCGGGCGACGGUUGUCCCGGUUUAAGCGUGUAGGCUGGUUUUCCAGGCAAAUCCGGAAAAUCAAGGCUGAGGCGUGAUGACGAGGCACUACGGUGCUGAAGCAACAAAUGCCCUGCUUCCAGGAAAAGCCUCUAAGCAUCAGGUAACAUCAAAUCGUACCCCAAACCGACACAGGUGGUCAGGUAGAGAAUACCAAGGCGCUUGAGAGAACUCGGGUGAAGGAACUAGGCAAAAUGGUGCCGUAACUUCGGGAGAAGGCACGCUGAUAUGUAGGUGAAGCGACUUGCUCGUGGAGCUGAAAUCAGUCGAAGAUACCAGCUGGCUGCAACUGUUUAUUAAAAACACAGCACUGUGCAAACACGAAAGUGGACGUAUACGGUGUGACGCCUGCCCGGUGCCGGAAGGUUAAUUGAUGGGGUUAGCGGUAACGCGAAGCUCUUGAUCGAAGCCCCGGUAAACGGCGGCCGUAACUAUAACGGUCCUAAGGUAGCGAAAUUCCUUGUCGGGU